CUAAUACAUGCAAGUCGAACGAGGAAAGUAGCAAUAUGAGUACUAGUGGCGCACGGGUGAGGAACACAUGGGUAAUCUGCCUUCAAGUUUGGGAUAACCAGUCGAAAGAUUGGCUAAUACCGGAUAAGACCACGACAUCUGCGGAUGAUGAGGUUAAAGGUUUUUCGCUUGAAGAUGAGCCCAUGCGAGAUUAGCUAGUUGGUGAGGUAAUGGCUCACCAAGGCGACGAUCUCUAACUGGUCUUAGAGGAUGAUCAGUCACACUGGAACUGAGACACGGUCCAGACUCCUACGGGAGGCAGCAGUAGGGAAUAUUGCGCAAUGGGGGAAACCCUGACGCAGCGACGCCGCGUGAGUGAUGAAGGCCUUCGGGUCGUAAAGCUCUGUCGUAUGGGACUAACACAAUGAAUGUACCAUGCAAGAAAGGAUCGGCUAACUUCGUGCCAGCAGCCGCGGUAAGACGAGGGAUCCUAGCGUUGUUCGGAAUCAUUGGGCGUAAAGCGGGUGUAGGCGGGCUUUUAAGUCAGGUGUGAAAUCCCGGGGCUCAACCCCGGAAGUGCAUUUGAUACUGAAAGUCUUGAGUGUGGUAGAGGCUACUGGAAUUCCUGGUGUAGUGGUGAAAUACGUAGAUAUCAGGAGGAAUACCGGAGGCGAAGGCGAGUAGCUGGGCCAACACUGACGCUGAGACCCGAAAGCGUGGGGAUCAAACAGGAUUAGAUACCCUGGUAGUCCACGCUGUAAACGAUGGAUACUUGUUGUUAGAGGUAUUGACCCCUCUAGUGACGUAGCUAACGCGUUAAGUAUCCCGCCUGGGGAGUACGGUCGCAAGAUUAAAACUCAAAGAAAUUGACGGGGGCCCGC
rnacentral:rRNA from 1 species